GUAGGGAUAGUGGGACCAGCAGUGACGCGUGUCCUAGAACCAGGUCAACUGAACACCCCACAGUUGUUCAAUUGGAUUCAGGUCUGGGCUCUGGCUGGGCCAUUCCAAAACGUUAAUCUUCUUCUGGUGAAGACAUGCUUUUUUAGUUAUGGAUGUGUGCUUUGGGUCAUUGUCAUGCUGAAAGGCGAACUUCCUCUUCAUCUCCAGCUUUCUAACGGACGCCUGAAGGUUUUGUGCCAAAAUUGCCUGGUAUUUGGAACUGUUCAUAAUUCCCUCUACCCUGACUAAGGCCAGCUGAAGAAAAACAGCCCCAAACCAUGAUGCUGCCACCACCAUGCAUCACUGUGGGUGCAGGUGGGUGUGGCUGUGCAGGGGUUUGUCCCUCGUUCGGCGCAGCUGCUGUUCAUCAACCACCUGUAUAAGAACUUCCUGAUCCAGCCAGCCUGCGCCAGAUUGUUCUUCGUCCUCCCGUGUUGGAUACCUCGGACUCUGCACUGCCUUCUCACCCGCCUGCCACACCACAGCUGAAGACCAAUACCUCCUCAUGAAUCAUCCUCCCAGAACUGGGAUCGCCUUUUGUCAAAACUCUAUCUUUAAAUCCUUAUUUUCUUAUUUUUACUUCCGUUGUCUGAGCCUGUUUUUGAGCCCGC
ensembl:lncRNA